GCUCAUUGUCUGAAAAGUCCUGGUUGCACACAGAUCUGCAGCGCGCUGACUUGUUCUCAGAGGUCUCCAAGUUGCUUCACUGCCUUUUACGACAAACAGCUCUAUGAUGCCAUCUAUCUCCAGGAUUUUGUCACUGUCUUCAAAACUUCCUGAUUGUUCUGAAAGUGCUUUGUGAGACCUGCCAUAAGUCCCCUACAAGCAGCUCUGAAAGGAAACAAUUGUCACAGGAGGAGAUCGAACUCGGGACCUUCCACUUGCGAGGCAGAUGGCAGCACCACUGAGCUAAAUCCCCGGCCCCCUAUAAACCAUAACAUCAGUUCAGAUCAGGUGCGUGGAGCCCCGUUCGGUGGCCAUGACAGGGGAGAAGAAAUGGAGAAUGGAAUGUUAAAAGGCAGCCCAGAGGGAAAACUCAGAAUCAAAUCUUCCAGUUCUCCUGCUUUAUUUUUCAGGAUCAAGCCCUUCCCCAAGGGCACAGAUACUACCUGCUCAUGAAAUUAAUAAGUAUCCUUUUUAUAUCUGGGCAGUACAGAGCCAAACCCAGUCUUCACUCUCUUGCAACUUAAUUUCUAGCAGGGAGACAAAUAAUAAGCGUAGAGAUGACCAUGUCCAGGUGUCAGCUGGGCCUAGUGUGAGGGAAAAGUAAAGCAGGGAAAAGGAAGAGAAAGGGCCAGGGUGCUACUCAGUGUAGGGUCAUCAGGAAAGGGCUUCAGAGAAGACAGCACGGAGCUGCCCCAGGAAGGAAGAGAGGGGGAGCCAAGAGGAUAUGGCCAAGGGCACCCCAGGCAGAGGGCACAGAAAGAGCUAAGGCCCGGAGCAGGAGUGGCCUUAGUUGUUGGGGGAAUAGCAAGGAGCCCAGUGUGGCUGGCAUGAGGAGGGCAGGAGGAGAGCGUUGAGAUGGGAAGUCAGGGAGGCAUCGUGUGGGGCCCUGAAGUCAGUGUAGGGACUUGGGCC
ensembl:lncRNA